CAGAUCCUGAUGUGUUCGUUAUUUGUCUAUCAGUUUUGACCGAACAUUCAAAUCGUAGGGAGUCCGAAUACCGGCAUUGCUGGCAUGCCCCUCAGAGGGAAGUCAAACGUGCCGGUGAGGGCACCCACCUGCCUGGUGCGGGUUCAAAACGAUUACCCAAAGACGGCACGAUCGGGAUCUGU
rnacentral:other from 1 species